CGAACGCUGGCGGCGUGCUUAACACAUGCAAGUCGAACGGAAAGGCCCUGCUUUUGUGGGGUGCUCGAGUGGCGAACGGGUGAGUAACACGUGAGUAACCUGCCCUUGACUUUGGGAUAACUUCAGGAAACUGGGGCUAAUACCGGAUAGGAGCUCCUGCUGCAUGGUGGGGGUUGGAAAGUUUCGGCGGUUGGGGAUGGACUCGCGGCUUAUCAGCUUGUUGGUGGGGUAGUGGCUUACCAAGGUUUUGACGGGUAGCCGGCCUGAGAGGGUGACCGGCCACAUUGGGACUGAGAUACGGCCCAGACUCCUACGGGAGGCAGCAGUGGGGAAUAUUGCACAAUGGGCGGAAGCCUGAUGCAGCAACGCCGCGUGCGGGAUGACGGCCUUCGGGUUGUAAACCGCUUUCGCCUGUGACGAAGCGUGAGUGACGGUAAUGGGUAAAGAAGCACCGGCUAACUACGUG
rnacentral:rRNA from 1 species